GUGGUGGUGGUGGUGGUGGUGGUGGUAGUAGUAGUAGUAGUAGUAGUGCUGGUAGAUGACGGAAUGUACUCGACUGGAGUCACAGAAGGAGAUAGGGAAACAACCUCAACUUCUGGGUUGUAAACUUCAUUGACUUUAUUGAGAGAAUCAUCAUCAGAAACCUCAUUUACAAUAACUAUAUCAUCUUCAUGGUAAAUUUGAUUAGAAUAUUCGUAUCCAUUGUCUUCAAUAUCAGAGGUUACUUCAACUUCGCGUGGGACUGGUAAAACUAUGACGUCUUCUGUCUGAGUAGAUACAGAGACUAAUUCAGGUCCUUGAGUCUGAGUAGUUUUUGUUUUCUUAGAUUUCUUUUUUGAACUGCAUGAAGAUGAUUCACCUUCUUCGUUCUCCUUUAAUUCUUUUUCUGCCUUAGUCUUUUUCUUAUCUUGCUUCUUUUGUUCCUUACCUUCAUUUGAUGGUUUAACAUGAUCCUUUAAACCAUUAUUAGAUGCUUCCUUCUUUUGCUGUUUCAAUAGUUUUUGUUUUUGCUUCUCUUCUUUUUGUAAUUGUUUUUGUCUCUGUUUCUCCUCUUGCUUCAACAAUUUUUGUCUCUGUUUCUCUUCUUUUUGUAAUUGUUUUUGUCUUUGCCUCUCUUCUUUUUCCAAUUGCUUUUGUCUCUGCUUCUCUUCUUUAGAUAAUUUCUGUUUCUCAUUAUCUUUGGGUAAUUUUUGUUUUUUCUUUUCUUUUUCCAAUCUCUUUUGUUCUUUCAAUCUUCUUUGUUCUUCUUUCUCCUCCUCCCUUAAUCUCUUUUGUUUCUCUUUUUCUUGUUUUUUCAAGAGUUUAGCAUCAUUGGCUUCAUUCUUGUCGGAUGAAGACUUCUUGUUUGCUUCCUUUAAUGCUUUCUUUCUCUCUUUCUCUUCUAAUUUCUGUAAUCUCUGUCUUUCCUUCUCCUGCUUAGCCAAUAGCUUCUUUUCUUUUUUCAACUUUUCCUUUUCCAAUUUCUCGAUUUUCUUAAGUUCACUCUUUGAAAGUGGUUUAGCAGUUGAAGUCUGAGUAACUAUUGGAAUUGUUUGUGUUGCAGCAUCAGUCAUACCAGUUUCCUCAGUCUGAGUACCAGUUUCCUCAGUCUGAAUACCAGAUUCAACAGGUACACAUUCUGUUGAUUCAUCAAAUAGGCAAGAGAAGCUGUUGGCCAAAUCUUCAUCAGAGCUAUUUUUGUUUACAUGUAACUCGCUAGUACAUUGAACGGAGUUUCCAGAGAAGCAAGAAC
rnacentral:antisense_RNA from 1 species